rnacentral:rRNA from 1 species
GCCAGACUCCUACGGGAGGCAGCAGUGAGGAAUAUUGGGCAAUGGAGGCAACUCUGACCCAGCCAUGCCGCGUGAGUGAAGAAGGUUUUCGGAUUGUAAAGCUCUUUCGGAUGUGACGAUGAUGACGGUAGCAUCUAAAGAAGCCCCGGCUAACUUCGUGCCAGCAGCCGCGGUAAUACGUAGGGAGCGAGCGUUGUCCGGAAUUACUGGGUGUAAAGGGAGCGUAGGCGGGGAUGCAAGUUGGGUGUCAAAACUACCGGCUCAACUGGUAGUCGCACUCAAAACUGCAGCUCUUGAGUGAAGUAGAGGCAGGCGGAAUUCCUAGUGUAGCGGUGAAAUGCGUAGAUAUUAGGAGGAACACCAGUGGCGAAGGCGGCCUGCUGGGCUUUUACUGACGCUGAGGCCCGAAAGUGUGGGGAGCAAACAGGAUUAGAUACCCCCGUA